CAAGGUGGUGGUGGGGCUUCUUCGCACAAGUGUGGGGGGGGGUCUUGCACAAGUGGGGGGGGGGCAAAGCUGGUGCCAGCAUCACACACACACACACACAUUGAUAUGGUGGUGCUAGGGGGGGUUUGCACGAGGAGCCAUUUAAACAAAGGGGGGUUCUUUUGCACGAGGAUGGUUUGCACGAGGAUGAUUUGCACGAGGGUUGUUUGUAUAAGGAGCCCUUUGCACGAGGAUGUCUUGCACAAGGAUCCAUUUGCACUAGGAUCUCUUGCACAAGGAGCCCCUUGCACGUGGAUCUCUUACACUAGGAACCCUUAACACAAGAAAUUAUUUGCACAAGGAUCUCUUGUACCAGGAGCCCUUUGCACAAGGAUCUCUUGCACAAGGAUCCAUUUGCAGUAGGAUCUCUUGCACCAGGAGCCCUUUGCACAAGGCUUGCUUGCACAAGGAUCCAUUUGCACAUGGGCCUCUUGCACACGGAACCCUUAACACAAGGAUCUCUUUACACAAGGAACCCGUUGCACAAGGAUCUCUUGCACAAGGAUCCAUUUGCACAAGGUUUGCUUGCACAAGGAGCCCUUUGCACGUGGAUCUCUUGCACAAGGAGCCGCUUGCACGUGGAUCUCUUACACUAGGAACCCUUAACACAAGGAUCUCUUGCAAAAGAAAUUAUUUGCACGAGGAUCUCUUGCACCAGGAGCCCUUUGCACAAGGAUGUCUUGCACAAGGAUCCAUUUGCACAACGAUCUCUUGUACCAUGAGCUCUUUGCACGAGGAAUUGUUGCACAAGGAGCCAUUUGCACACGGAUCUCUUGCACAAGGAGCCCUUUGCACAAGUAUCUUUUGCACAAGUAGCCUUGCACACAUUGAUCUCUUGCACAAGGAGUCCACUGCAGUAGGGUGUCUUACACAAGGAUCUCUUACACAAGGAACCAUUAACACAAGAAUCACUUGCACAUGGAGCCCGACACAAGAGGAUCUCUUGCACAAGGAUCUCUUUGCACAAGGACCUCUUGCACAGGAACUCAAUUGCACAAGGAUCUUUUACACAAGGGCCCCUUUGCACAAGGAUCUCUCGCACAAUAACUCAUUUGCACAAGGAUCUCUCGCACAAUAUCUCACACAAGGAUCUCUCGCAAAAGGACCCCUUUGCACAAGGAUCUCUUGCACAAGGACCUCUUUGCACAAGGACCUCUCACACCAGGCCCCCUUUGCUCAAGGAUCUCACACAAUAACCCAUUUACACAAGCAUCUCUCGCACAAGUAUCUCUUGCACAAUGACCCCUUACACAAGUACCUCUCGCACCAGGCCCCCUUUGCACGACUCCCCCCCCCUCACUGCUCCUCGUUCCCCCCCGUGAGCUUGUGGAACAGCUCCGUGUCCAUUUGCCGUCCCGCCGUGCGCCCCCCCAUGCACACGUACCCCCCCAGGUACUCGUGCACCGUCUGGCACGAGGCCGACACGACGCUGAACGCCACGUUCAAAUGCUCCUCGAACUCCAGCGCCACCUGGCGGA
rnacentral:lncRNA from 1 species